CCUACGGGUGGCUGCAGUGAGGAAUAUUGGUCAAUGGCCGGAAGGCUGAACCAGCCAAGCCGCGUGAGGGAGGAAGGCGCAGAGCGUCGCAGACCUCUUUUGCCGGGGGACAAAAGGCCGCACUCGUCCGGUCCUGAGGGUACCCGGAGAAAAAGCAUCGGCUAACUCCGUGCCAGCAGCCGCGGUAAUACGGGAGGUGCGAGCGUUAUCCGGAUUCAUUGGGUUUAAAGGGUGCGUAGGCCGGGCCUUAAGCCUGCCGGGAAAUUGGGGGGCUCAACCCCGGCCGGGCGGCGCGAACUGGGGGCCUUGAGUGCGCCGAAGGCAGGCGGAAUGCGCGGUGUAGCGGUGAAAUGCAUAGAUAUCGCGCAGAACCCCGAUUGCGAAGGCAGCGUGCCGUGGCGCCACUGACGCUGAGGCACGAAAGCGCGGGGAUCGAACAGGAUUAGAUACCCUGGUAGUC
rnacentral:rRNA from 1 species